GACGAACGCUGGCGGCGUGCUUAACACAUGCAAGUCGAACGGAAAGGCCCUGCUUUUGUGGGGUGCUCGAGUGGCGAACGGGUGAGUAACACGUGAGUAACCUGCCCUUGACUUUGGGAUAACUUCAGGAAACUGGGGCUAAUACCGGAUAGGAGCUCCUGCUGCAUGGUGGGGGUUGGAAAGUUUCGGCGGUUGGGGAUGGACUCGCGGCUUAUCAGCUUGUGGGUGGGGUAGUGGCUUACCAAGGCUUUGACGGGUAGCCGGCCUGAGAGGGUGACCGGCCACAUUGGGACUGAGAUACGGCCCAGACUCCUACGGGAGGCAGCAGUGGGGAAUAUUGCACAAUGGGCGGAAGCCUGAUGCAGCAACGCCGCGUGCGGGAUGACGGCCUUCGGGUUGUAAACCGCUUUCGCCUGUGACGAAGCUUGAGUGACGGUAAUGGGUAAAGAAGCACCGGCUAACUACGUG
rnacentral:rRNA from 1 species